AAACUAUUUGAUAAUAAUUGCAACAUUUUCGCGCUGAAUAAGGUCAUUCUGUCAUUCAUGGUCAUGUUAAAAAAAACAGCUGGUAGUAAAAAUCGGAGGACACGAUGUCAACGACUUUUCGGCGCUAUCGUGCUAUUGUGAAUUAUCUUAAAAAUAUCAAUGCAAUAUUGGUAGUGCAUUGUUCUUAUAACACAUAAAAUGUUUUACAGACCAAUGCCCAUUAAUACAAACAAAGACUCUUCGAACGAUUUAAGUGGGAGCCUAACAGAGGAUUUAAAUCACAUCAGCAAAACGUCUUCGACAAAAGCUAUGCCAGCUCGACUUAUUGUUGGAGGUAU
rnacentral:lncRNA from 1 species